rnacentral:rRNA from 1 species
UACGAGGGGUCCUAGCGUUGUUCGGAAUCAUUGGGCGUAAAGCGCGUGUAGGCUGCCACUUAAGUCAGUUGUGAAAGCCCCGGGCUCAACCCGGGAAGUGCUUCUGAUACUGAGUGGCUUGAGUACUAGAGAGGAUAGUAGAAUUCCUGGUGUAGUGGUGAAAUACGUAGAUAUCAGGAGGAAUACCGGUGGCGAAGGCGGCUAUCUGGCUAUGUACUGACGCUGAGACACGAAAGCGUGGGGAGCAAACAGG